rnacentral:rRNA from 1 species
UACAGAGGUCUCAAGCGUUGUUCGGAUUCAUUGGGCGUAAAGGGUGCGUAGGCGGCGCGUGAGAUCGGGGUGUGAAAUCUCGGAGCUUAACUUCGAAACUGCAUUCGAUACUGCCGUGCUUGAGGACUGGAGAGGAGACUGGAAUUUACGGUGUAGCGGUGAAAUGCGUAGAUAUCGUAAGGAAGACCAGUGGCGAAGGCGGGUCUCUGGACAGUUCCUGACGCUGAGGCACGAAGGUCAGGGGAGCAAACGGG